CUCGUACCUACGCUGGAAAGAAGUACUAUGUGUCACUCCAAUCGGCGGGAAACGUCUCCUCCUGGUGGCAGAAAUGUGCAUGGCCGAAGCUCAGUUUGAGCUGAAAUGUUCGAAAGCAUCUUCUUAGGACAGCCUCAAUGGAAAGAGGAGCACAGCUCUUCUGCCCGCAGUCUUCUGUCUGUCCCCACCUUCAUCAGCCUCCUGGAGCUGUCAGUCCUCCUGAGUUGUACUGCAAGCUUGCGAUAACACAGCACACAGAGUUGUUCAAGCCAGGACUGUCUUCCUGCAAGACUUGCAAGGUAAAAUAAUCAAUAAGAUGUCCAGCCCCUCCCCAACUCGGAUUAAUACAGUGUUUAAGACUGGAG